GAUACGGUAGGUCGAGCGAAACCUAGGCGAGGCCGCGUCCAGAUCUGCGUCCGGCGAGCAAGACAUCGCAGGGCGCGCGACGGCACAGCGCAGCAGCGGCUCUCGCGAGGCGUCCCGGCGACCUAGACAACGCGGAGCGUAGGGCGUCUCGGCAAGCAGUCCGAGCAAGACAGCAUGGAGCGCGGCGGCAGCCCGGCCUGCGGCUCCCGCGGGGCGCGGCGCGGCAGCGGCGGCCCGGCCUGCAGCAGCACGCCGGACAGGCAUCCCCGGCAGGUACUGUAGACCGCGAUUCACGCAUUUCCAGUUGCCAAGAAGUCAUGGCAGCGUCAGAUUGGCUUCCUGUUGGGUGAGUUUUCAUUUUUCUUCUCUUCUUCCACUUGUUCUUGGAGAUCUCUUGUUCUUGUGCUUGGAUAUGGUGCUAGAAACGUUAAAAUCCAAUGUAGCAGCAUAUAUUUGAUGGUUCAUUCAUUAACAGGAUGGACCCUAAGUCAAGUUAUUUGCUAAUAAUCAGACUUACUGGUAAUCCUAAAAAGCAUAGAAAGAAUUUUCAUACUUUGAAUGCAGCAAGGUUGUAGAUUCCGAUUUAUGCAAUUUCAAGGAUCUUGUUCAAGAAAUUGUUGAUCAGUACCCGCAUAGAUACAAUGAGAUAAUGCAUGUUUUUUACUAUGAUGUUGCCCAAAAAAACCUUCCCACAAAUUAAAACAGACCAAGAACUCCUGAAAAUGUUUAGCAAACAUGUUGACAGCAAGAUAGUGCUCAUGACCAUUACAUACACUGAGCCCACCGAUGUUGUCGCGGUCCUAGAGUGGUGCUACACUGAAGAAGAUAUCCCACGCAUACCUUCUUUGGCUUGUCCAUCUCUACCACCAGUGAGCCAAAUAACCGAACCUAUAACAAAGCUUCCCACACAGCCUUGUACAAGUGAACCUAGCACAUAUAACAAUGACGAUGAUGGUUAUUUGGCAAAUCCUGAACCCCAUAAGGAACAUGUUGGUGUUGACGAGGAAGGCUUUUACUUGACUGUUGAAAAAAUUGCGAGUGAAGAGAGUGACUCUGAGUCUGAUUCUGAAUCUGAUGAAGAGUACAAUGAAGAAGAUGUGUAAGUUGGGAAAGAUCAUGUACCCCCUAUGCCUAUUGUUUGUUAUGACAGAAAUGACCCUCCAAUGAGUGUAGGCAACAUAUAUCCCAACAUGCGAGAAUUUAAGUUGGCAUUAAAUCAACAUGAUAUCAAAUCUGAAUUUGAGUAUAAUAUUGAAAAGAGUGACCCAGGGAGAGUGAGGGCAUAUUGUUCAAGGAAGAAGGAAGAAGGGUGUAGAUGGAGGUUGCAUGCUUCUAUAAUGAGGGACAAUACAACAUUAAAGGUAAGGAAGAAUCCACAUCAACAUACGUGCUCUAGUGCAAGAAGUAAGGUCGUCAAGAAUGCAACCAAAUUUUGGGUUUGUGAACAAGUCAAGGACUGGCUCAUGGGUGCAAUGGAGGAUAAAGGACAAGCAUAAGAUAGAUGUGAAUUACAAGAGAGUCUAUGCGAGUAUGCUCCUUGCCCAAACACAACUAUUUAGUAGUUGGGAUAGCAGCUUAAAUAACUUAUAUAGAUUUAAGGAAGAGGUAGAAAGAUGCUGCCCAGGUAGUUUUGUAGUGAUUGAUCAUCACACAGUAGCUGAGAAAAUCAGAUUCAAUAGAUUGUUCUUUGCUUUGAAACCAUGCAUAGACGGUUUUCUCAAAGGAUAUAGACCAUACUUGGCAGUGGACAACACAUUUUUAUUGAGAAAGUUUAGGGGACAACUAGCAUGUGUAGUAGCUGUAGAUGGACACAAUUGGAUGUACCUUGUUGGUUUUGGAGUGAUUGACUCAGAAACCAAUGAAAACUAGAUAUGGUUUAUGGAGAGACUUAGAGAUGCUAUUGGAACAGCAGAAGGGUUAGCUAUAUGUACAGAUGCUGGACAAGGGGUGAUGGCAGGAGUGAAGGAAGUAUUCCCAACUGCAGAACAUAGGGAAUGCAUGCUACAUUUGAUGAUGAACUUCAAAAAAGGUAUAGUGGCAAGAUAUUUGAUGACCAUCUUUGGGCAGCAGCUUAUUCAUGGAGCCCAUAUUUCUUUGAGAAACAUUGGAAAGCAAUGGAUGAGGCUAAACCUGUAGCAAUGAAUUACAUAAAGGAAUGUCAUACUAGGAUAUGGUCAAGAAGCCAAUUCUGCACCAUUUGCAAGGUUGAUUACGUAACCAUUAAUUUGGCAGAGUGUUUCAACAAUUGGGUUAAGAAGUACAAGGGGUUGAAUUUAGAUGACUUGAUGGACAAGAUCAGGCAACUUAUUAUGGACAAGUGGGAUGUUAGAAGAACAAUCUCUCAAAAGAUUGGAGGGAUAAUUCUGCCACACAUCGUGAAGGAUUUAAAGGAGCAGAGCUUUAACUUGGAUAUGGAAGUGCAGAGGAGUGAGGAUAUUCUUGGUGAGGUGUCUGUAAAGGGUGGUAGUGGCUUCAAAUGUGUAGUAAACCUAGCUGAACAAACUUGUACUUGUAGAAAAUGGCAAGUCUCAGGCAUUCCUUGCAAACAUGCUAUUGCAUUCAUCACAUCUCUUAGGGAACCAUUGGAGAAAUAUGUUGACAUGUAUUACUCGGUUGAGAAAUUAAGAGCAGCAUAUUAGACUUUAAUCCCUGCCAUGCCUGACAAGGACCAGUGGCCUGAAUCUAAUCAUGGUUUCUUCAUGCACCCACCACUUCUAAAAUCUACAGCUGGAAGAAGACAUACUCAGCGGUUCAAGAGUUGUACAGAGGCUGGUGGCAGCACUACAAGAAAGAAGGGGUCACACCAGUGCCCUAUUUGCAAGGGAUAUGGCCAUAGGUGGUAUAACUGUAAGAAUGGUGACCCAGAUGACAUAGCGGCUAUGCUAGCUGAGAAAGGUAUCCUAUGUUGUCUUUGGGUACAACAACAACAACAACUACCACCUCUAUGCCUACAAAAGACAAGAAGAAGGCUAAAGGGAAGGCAAAGGCACAAGGGAAGACAAGGAAGAACAAAGUUUCAGUGGCACCUGAUAGUCCAGCAAUGUCUACAAGAAGCAGAACUCCUCAAAGGCAAAGCCAUGCUGCCCACACAAGGAGCAAGAGAAAGCUUCCAGACUUGAAUCUGUAGUUGGUCCAUAUCACUUUGAGAUCCCUAUCACUUUUGUAUGGCGUGCAUUGUGCAUGUGUUAUUUUGCUUGAUAAUGUAUCUAGUAUGUUCUGGAGAUCUCUAGGUUCUGUGAGGGCACUUGUAGCUUGGGUCCACCAGUAUGACCUAUAUGGUCUGUGAACAAAUGAGAUCUAUAUUCUGUAUGGUGUGUGGUCUGUGAACAAAGGGGUAUUUUGGUCUGUGAACAAAUGUUUACCUGUUGUUUAACUGCUUAUGGAUGGUAAUGUCAUUCAAGGGAUCAAAAAUUAAAAUU